UUCCGGUUGAUCCUGCCGGACCCCACUGCUAUCGGGAUAGGACUAAGACAUGCUAGUCACUCCAGCCAACAGAGGCGCACAGCUCAGUAACACGUGGCUAACCUACCCUUGAGACGGAGACAUCCCCGGGAAACUGGGGCUAAUCCCCGAUAGAUGAAAACUCCUGGAAUGGGUUUUCGUCCAAAAGGUCAAGCGCUCAAGGAUGGGGCCGCGGCCGAUCAGGUUGUUGGUGAGGUAACGGCUCACCAAGCCUUUGACCGGUGCGGGCCGUGAGAGCGGGAGCCCGGAGAUGGGCACUGAGACAAGGGCCCAGGCCCUACGGGGCGCAGCAGUCGCGAAAACUCCGCAAUGCGCGAAAGCGUGACGGGGCUACCCCGAGUGCCGUCCGCUGAGGAUGGCUUUUCUCUGCUGUAAGGAGGCGGAGGAAUAAGGCGAGGGCAAGUUCUGGUGUCAGCCGCCGCGGUAAUACCAGCUCGCCGAGUGGUAGGGAUGAUUAUUGGGCCUAAAGCGUCCGUAGCUGGCUGGACAAGUCCCCUGUUAAAUCCACCGAUUUAAUCGUUGGUGUGCGGGGGAUACUGUUUGGCUAGGAGGCGGGAGAGGUCGACGGUACUUCUGGGGUAGGGGUGAAAUCCUAUAAUCCCGGGAAGACCACCAGUGGCGAAGGCUGUCGGCUAGAACGCGCCCGACGGUGAGGGAUGAAAGCUGGGGGAGCGAACCGGAUUAGAUACCCGGGUAGUCCCAGCUUAAACGAUGCAGGCUAGGUGUUUGGGCGGCCACGGGCCGCUCUAGUGCCGCAGGGAAGCUGUUAAGCCUGCCGCCUGGGGAGUACGGCCGCAAGGCUGAAACUUAAAGGAAUUGGCGGGGGAGCACCACAAGGGGUGAAGCUUGCGGUUUAAUUGGAUUCAACGCCGGA
rnacentral:rRNA from 1 species